rnacentral:rRNA from 1 species
AGAGUUUGAUCCUGGCUCAGGAUGAACGCUAGCGACAGGCUUAACACAUGCAAGUCGAGGGGCAGCACAGGUAGCAAUACCGGGUGGCGACCGGCGCACGGGUGAGUAACGCGUAUGCAACUUGCCUAUCAGAGGGGGAUAACCCGGCGAAAGUCGGACUAAUACCGCAUGAAGCAGGGGCCCCGCAUGGGGAUAUUUGCUAAAGAUUCAUCGCUGAUAGAUAGGCAUGCGUUCCAUUAGGCAGUUGGCGGGGUAACGGCCCACCAAACCGACGAUGGAUAGGGGUUCUGAGAGGAAGGUCCCCCACAUUGGUACUGAGACACGGACCAAACUCCUACGGGAGGCAGCAGUGAGGAAUAUUGGUCAAUGGGCGUAAGCCUGAACCAGCCAAGUCGCGUGAGGGAUGAAGGUUCUAUGGAUCGUAAACCUCUUUUAUAAGGGAAUAAAGUGCGGGACGUGUCCCGUUUUGUAUGUACCUUAUGAAUAAGGAUCGGCUAACUCCGUGCCAGCAGCCGCGGUAAUACGGAGGAUCCGAGCGUUAUCCGGAUUUAUUGGGUUUAAAGGGUGCGUAGGCGGCCUUUUAAGUCAGCGGUGAAAGUCUGUGGCUCAACCAUAGAAUUGCCGUUGAAACUGGGGGGCUUGAGUAUGUUUGAGGCAGGCGGAAUGCGUGGUGUAGCGGUGAAAUGCAUAGAUAUCACGCAGAACCCCGAUUGCGAAGGCAGCCUGCCAAGCCAUUACUGACGCUGAUGCACGAAAGCGUGGGGAUCAAACAGGAUUAGAUACCCUGGUAGUCCACGCAGUAAACGAUGAUCACUAGCUGUUUGCGAUACACUGUAAGCGGCACAGCGAAAGCGUUAAGUGAUCCACCUGGGGAGUACGCCGGCAACGGUGAAACUCAAAGGAAUUGACGGGGGCCCGCACAAGCGGAGGAACAUGUGGUUUAAUUCGAUGAUACGCGAGGAACCUUACCCGGGUUUGAACGCAUUUUGACAGCUCUGGAAACAGAGCCUCUAGCAAUAGCGAUUUGCGAGGUGCUGCAUGGUUGUCGUCAGCUCGUGCCGUGAGGUGUCGGCUUAAGUGCCAUAACGAGCGCAACCCUUGCCACUAGUUACUAACAGGUAAAGCUGAGGACUCUGGUGGGACUGCCAGCGUAAGCUGCGAGGAAGGCGGGGAUGACGUCAAAUCAGCACGGCCCUUACAUCCGGGGCGACACACGUGUUACAAUGGCGUGGACAAAGGGAGGCCACCUGGCGACAGGGAGCGAAUCCCCAAACCACGUCUCAGUUCGGAUCGGAGUCUGCAACCCGACUCCGUGAAGCUGGAUUCGCUAGUAAUCGCGCAUCAGCCAUGGCGCGGUGAAUACGUU